rnacentral:rRNA from 1 species
ACGGGUGAGUAACGCGUGAGAAUCUGCCUUCAGGUUGGGGACAACAGUUGGAAACGACUGCUAAUACCCAAUGUGCCGAGAGGUGAAAGCUUUAGUGCCUGAAGAUGAGCUCGCGUCUGAUUAGCUAGUUGGUGAGGUAAUGGCUUACCAAGGCGACGAUCAGUAGCUGGUCUGAGAGGAUGAUCAGCCACACUGGGACUGAGACACGGCCCAGACUCCUACGGGAGGCAGCAGUGGGGAAUUUUCCGCAAUGGGCGCAAGCCUGACGGAGCAAGACCGCGUGAGGGAGGAAGGCUCUUGGGUUGUAAACCUCUUUUAUCAGGGAAGAAGAUCUGACGGUACCUGAUGAAUCAGCAUCGGCUAACUCCGUGCCAGCAGCCGCGGUAAUACGGAGGAUGCAAGCGUUAUCCGGAUUUAUUGGGCGUAAAGCGUCCGCAGGUGGUUUUUCAAGUCUGCUGUUAAAGCGCGAGGCUUAACUUCGUACAGGCAGUGGAAACUGGGAGACUUGAGUAUGGUAGGGGUAGCGGGAAUUCCCAGUGUAGCGGUGAAAUGCGUAGA